AAAUAACCCAGAUUAUUUUAUUUAAAAAAGAUGUAACUGAGUGCUUUGGCUCCUAGGGAACCAAGAGUGUAAGAAUGGAUUUAAUGAAAAGGACAAUAUUUAUACACUUGUAGUUGAAUAGGGAAUCAUUUUCCAAUAUUUUAUAUAUUUGAGAGAACAGCAACUACCCUCUGGGAUGUCACCGCAAAAGCACGAACCAUGCCCUGCAGAUAACUCGAGUCAGAAUGAGGGUGACUUUCCCAAGGGCUCUUUUCCAUGACUGUGGAAGCUUGUAGACUUGGGGGCUACAGAGAGCCCAUGACAAUAAACAAAUGCUCACUGAUAGACAAGUUUUUACGACAGAACAAUCUUUUAGACUGAUUCUGAAUUCUGUUCUCAAAAGCACACCUUCGUGUUAACUGUCUAAGGCCUGAAUUUUUCUUGCUUUAUGACACAUGAAGACACAUCGCUCUGUCAGACUGUAAUCUCCUUGAAGGGGCCCCGAGUCUGUGUCCACAAUAAUGUGAACUUGUGUCCUGACAACAGGCAGAAACGUCAAGGUUGUACACACUCUCUAAUGAACAGCUGUCUAAUCUCAACCCCUCGUCCCCAGAGGUGAAGCUCUGAGACAAACCAAAUAAGCUUCAGUGGGAGAACAGGUUUGAAGCAAGGAAGGACGAGCGAGCACCAGACUCCCUCACCUGCUCCACUGGAGGAGCAGCUGGAAGGCUCAUUUCCUUGGCAUCCUUGGCAGGU
rnacentral:lncRNA from 1 species